AGAUUGUUUUGUCUUUCGGUUGUUCGCCUGAUUUACAUAGUUAUUAUAAUUUAGCCUAGAGUUAUACAAUAGUUUUGCUGAUGGAAUUGGUUUUAACCGAAAACCAGUUGAAACAUCUGCUGUCAAGUGGUAUAGGAAGAUACCUACUUGAAAGCGACAAUAACUUCAUUAUGUUAAUAGGAGCCUAUCACAACACACGAAAAACUGAAACCGUUGUUUCCGAGUCAGUAAUGAGCACCCACAGUGAUAGUUUUAACUAAAAUAAGAAAUUUCAAAUUUCAAGUUCGAAAUGGGAACUCGGC